rnacentral:ncRNA from 22 species
GGCUACUCAAUCCUCGUCGGUUUCCGUAAGGAAUUGAAAGGGAAUCCGCCGCCGGACCUGUCCGGCGAACCGGAACUGCCCCCGCAACUGUAGGCGGCGAGGAGCUCGCGAUCAAAGCCACUGUGGCCUCAAGCCAUGGGAAGGCCGCGCCAGCCCUGUGACCCGCCAGUCAGGAGACCUGCCGGCGUUCGAUCUCAACGC